UUUCACCCAUGAAUGAGCAAAAUUAUCUGCUACAGCAUGUGAUAGUGACCUGUUGAGAAAAAAAUAAAAAAGCAGUGUUACAAAAAUGUCCUCUCUCUCCACACCUAUCUCACGCUCUUCUCCCUCAACCCCAUUAUCUGAUUUUCAAUUUCAAUUGUAUUCUCCUCUUGAUCUUCAUGAAAACUUUGACCGGCAAGACCAUCACCUUGGAGGUGGAGAGUUCAGAUACCAUUGAUAACGCAAAAGCCAAGAUCCAAGAUAAGGAAGGGAUCCCAGCUGAUCAGCAAAGGUUCAUCUUUAAUGGAUUGGAGGAUGGAAGAGAUGAUUGAAGACUAAACAUGAAACCUGGACAAUCAAAUAACAAAUUUUAUUUUUGUAUAAUUUGUUUAACAACAAUGAUAUAUACACACCUCAUUUUUUAUACACUUUAUUUCCACCUA